AUGCAAGGCAGCGGCGACUUACCUCCGAGCAAGAGUGAAACUCCUCAUAAAAGACAAGAAGAAGAUGAAGAGGAGGAGGGGAUUCCAGCACAGUGCAGCGAGGGAGACGGAUGGACUAACAGGUGAGGCUGAACAGGAUGAACGGCAUUCCUAAUUAUUUCCAUCGGGAGAAAUGACUUGAGAUACAAGUGUUUUGACUUACAAGCAUGGUUUCAGAACAAGUUGGACUGAAUGUCCUCCUUGAAUAGCGGUGGUCCGCUCUAUUGAUUAAUGGACGCAUUAUAAUGACGGAUAAAAUAAAAAGACAAAUUCAUCAUUUUAGUGUUUGCGAAAUGUGAUAAGCACUCUAAAAGCCUGUCAGGGUAAACAAGCAGCACUUGUUGAAAUUGCCCCGACGUCUUUGUUUAAUAUGAGGACAACGUUCGAAUGAAAAACUGUCUCAUUUCUGAGCCAGGAAA